AGCGAACGCUGGCGGCAGGCUUAACACAUGCAAGUCGAGCGGGCACUUCGGUGUCAGCGGCAGACGGGUGAGUAACACGUGGGAACGUACCCUUUGGUUCGGAAUAACGCUGGGAAACUAGCGCUAAUACCGGAUACGCCCUUUUGGGGAAAGGCUUGCUGCCGAAGGAUCGGCCCGCGUCUGAUUAGCUAGUUGGUGGGGUAAUGGCCUACCAAGGCGACGAUCAGUAGCUGGUCUGAGAGGAUGAUCAGCCACACUGGGACUGAGACACGGCCCAGACUCCUACGGGAGGCAGCAGUGGGGAAUAUUGGACAAUGGGCGCAAGCCUGAUCCAGCCAUGCCGCGUGAGUGAUGAAGGCCUUAGGGUCGUAAAGCUCUUUUGUCCGGGACGAUAAUGACGGUACCGGAAGAAUAAGCCCCGGCUAACUUCGUG
rnacentral:rRNA from 1 species